CAGUAGCCACGGUAAUACAGAGGGUGCGAGCGUUAAUCGGAAUUACUGGGCGUAAAGCGCACGCAGGCGGUCUGUCAAGUCAGAUGUGAAAUCCCCGGGCUUAACCUGGGAACUGCAUUUGAAACUGGCAGGCUAGAGUCUUGUAGAGGGGGGUAGAAUUCCAGGUGUAGCGGUGAAAUGCGUAGAGAUCUGGAGGAAUACCGGUGGCGAAGGCGGCCCCCUGGACAAAGACUGACGCUCAGGUGCGAAAGCGUGGGGAGCAAACAGGAUUAGAUACCCCUGUAGUCCCUGUCUCUUAUAC
rnacentral:rRNA from 1 species